rnacentral:rRNA from 1 species
CAGGCCUAACACAUGCAAGUCGAGCGGUCCCUUCGGGGGCAGCGGCGGACGGGUGAGUAACGCGUGGGAACGUGCCCUUUGGUACGGAACAACUGAGGGAAACUUCAGCUAAUACCGUAUGUGCCCUUCGGGGGAAAGAUUUAUCGCCAUUGGAGCGGCCCGCGUUGGAUUAGGUAGUUGGUGAGGUAAAGGCUCACCAAGCCUACGAUCCAUAGCUGGUCUGAGAGGAUGAUCAGCCACACUGGGACUGAGACGCGGCCCAGACUCCUACGGGAGGCAGCAGUAGGGAAUCUUGCGCAAUGGGCGAAAGCCUGACGCAGCCAUGCCGCGUGAAUGAUGAAGGUCUUAGGAUUGUAAAAUUCUUUCACCGGGGACGUAAUGACGGUACCCGGAGAAGAAGCCCCGGCUAACUUCGUGCCAGCAGCCGCGGUAAUACGAAGGGGGCUAGCGUUGCUCGGAAUUACUGGGCGUAAAGGGAGCGUAGGCGGAUAGUUUAGUCAGAGGUGAAAGCCCAGGGCUCAACCUUGGAAUUGCCUUUGAUACUGGCUAUCUUGAGUAUGGAAGAGGUAUGUGGAACUCCGAGUGUAGAGGUGAAAUUCGUAGAUAUUCGGAAGAACACCAGUGGCGAAGGCGACAUACUGGUCCAUUACUGACGCUGAGGCUCGAAAGCGUGGGGAGCAAACAGGAUUAGAUACCCUGGUAGUCCACGCCGUAAACGAUGAGUGCUAGUUGUCGGCAUGCAUGCAUGUCGGUGACGCAGCUAUCGCAUUAAGCACUCCGCCUGGGGAGUACGGUCGCAAGAUUAAAACUCAAAGGAAUUGACGG